rnacentral:lncRNA from 1 species
UCUAACACUUCGAUUGAAGCUGAAUAAACCGGGCCGAGCGACCUACGAAAAAACCCAAUCAACGUUAGCAAGCCCGGAUCGAUUUGAAGAAUCGGAGAUCGCAUAGACGUUGAGAGAAACCCAAGAUUGGUCAGUUAUAAAAGAGCGACAUAAAUAAGAAAGGGGACGGAGAAAACCCUAGAGAGAGCUACACACAUUGACCUCAUUUCACUUCGUUUUAAAUCUUUCAUCUUAUCAAUCUCG